AAGUCGUAACAAGGUUUCCGUAGGUGAACCUGCGGAAGGAUCAUUAACAAAUCAAAGUUGUGCUGUGUUGUUGGUAUUUGAUGGCGUGUGUAGUGUUGAGUUCAACACUAUAUAUAUCUCUAGAAUACUAUACUAUACACCUAACACAUUUGUGCUCCAGGCAUUUAGUCUGGGUGCAAUUAUAUAUAUUAUAUAUAUUCAUUAUUGUCAGUUGUUUGUCUAUUUUUUAAAUUUAUAAUCAUACUUUUAACAAUGGAUCUCUUGGCUCUU
rnacentral:misc_RNA from 1 species